GGCGCUGUGGCUUAGUUGGUUAAAGCGCCUGUCUAGUAAGCCGGAGAUCCUUAGUUCGAAUCUUAGCAGUGCCU
rfam:Xenopus laevis strain J chromosome 3L, whole genome shotgun sequence.